rnacentral:rRNA from 1 species
AUUGAACGCUGGCGGCAUGCCUAACACAUGCAAGUCGAACGAGUGGCGGACGGGUGAGCAAUGUCUGGGCACCCGCCUGAUGGAGGGGGAUAACUACUGGAAACGGUAGCUAAUACCGCAUACCAUCAGAUGUGCCCAGAUGGGAUUAGCUAGUUGGUGGGGUAACGGCUCACCAAGGCGACGAUCCCUAGCUGGUCUGAGAGGAUGACCAGCCACACUGGGACUGAGCCACGGUCCAGACUCCUACGGGAGGCAGCAGUGGGGAAUAUUGCGCAAUGGGCGCAAGCCUGAUGCAGCCAUGCCGCGUGUAUGAAGAAGGCCUUCGGGUUGUAAAGUACUUUCAGCGGGGAGGCGGUACCCGCAGAAGAAGCACCGGCUAACUCCGUGCCAGCAGCCGCGGUAAUUC